rnacentral:rRNA from 1 species
AUAUUGGCGAGAGACCGAUAGCGAACAAGUACCGUGAGGGAAAGAUGAAAAGCACUUUGGAAAGAGAGUUAAACAGUACGUGAAAUUGUUGAAAGGGAAACGCUUGGAGUCAGUCGCGUUGGCCGGGAAUCAGCCUUGCUUUGCUCGGUGUACUUCCUGGUGAACGGGUCAGCAUCAGUUUUGACCGCUGGAAAAGGGCCAGAGGAAUGUGGCAUCUUCGGAUGUGUUAUAGCCUUUGGUCGCAUGCGGCGGUCGGGACUGAGGAACUCAGCACGCCUUCGGCCGGGGUUCGCCCACGUUCGUGCUUAGGAUGCUGGCAUAAUGGCUUCAAUCGACCCGUCUUGAAACACGGACC